AUUUGGAUGGGUUAAUUGGUAUCGUGUGGGUAAAUUUGUGAAGAAAAAUUUAUAUGCAUUGCAUCUGUUUGAUGAUAUGUCUAAGAGGCAUAAUAGGGAGAAUAUGUGAAUUUCAAUAAUGAAUAUAUGAGCUUCACCAGAAAACUAAGUACAAAUCUCUAAAGCUCUUUGUCCAGCCCUCAACCUUUGCCUUCUGCAAGAAGGUUCAUCUCUCUCUCUCUCUCCUCCUUUUUAAAUGCAUACAUGUUUCUAAGCUAAAAUACACUUCUCAGACAGAUGUGAUUAUUGGAUUGGAUUUUUCUUAUUAACCUUUGUAUGAUAGUGGCUUUAAUUUUUCAGGCUUAUACAACCUCAUUACUCGCAAAUUUUGUUUCGUGAACCUUUAAUGCCCUAUUGUCAGAAUAAGUUAAAGGAAGUACAAUAGUUCCAUCCAAUGAUGGUCGCUAUUUUUCAAAGGAUGUUGUGGAAUUUCAAGAUUGGAAACCUCUUGCUUUCAACUUUUUGAACAAAUUACCUUUGUAAGGUAUCAAAACAAUAAUUUUUCUACAGCAAAAAAAAUUCUUUUCCUUGUUAUGGUAAUUUUGUUAGAUCAGUCAAUGUUACACCAAUACUAACUCAAGUUUAUAAAUUGCUAGAAUGUCAAUUUGUAAUCCCGCAGCAACUCGCACACUUUACUAUCUAAUCUUAACUAUAUGUCGUCAUAGUAUUUUUAUUAAAAUAAAAAAAGGUACAUUUUUUUUAUCA